GCUCCUGUGGCGCAGUCGGUUAGCGCGAAGUGAGUGGUACUUAUAAUGCCGAGGUUGUGAGUUCGAGCCUCACCAGGAGCA